UGAGCAACCUACCGAAAUGAGGGGGAUAGCCGGCCCAACGGCCGGGUAAUACCGCAUACGCUCGAGACCAGGCAUUUGGACUCGAGGAAACCUCCGGGGCAUUUCGAGGGGCUCGCGGCCUAUCAGCUAGUUGGUGAGGUAACGGCUCACCAAGGCGACGACGGGUAGCUGGUCUGAGAGGAUGGCCAGCCACAUUGGGACUGAGAUACCGGCCCAGACCUCCGUACGGGAGGCAG
rnacentral:rRNA from 1 species